AGUGAACGCUGGCGGUGGGCCUAACACAUGCAAGUCGAGCGGCAACACCCUACGAGCUUGCUCUUCCCGGUGGCGAGUCGCGGACGUGUCAGGAAUACAACGGGCUCUUCUUUUUCGUGGGGGAUCACGUAGCUGAGCUUACGCUAAUACCGCAUCCGCCCUACGGGUGAAAGCAGUGGAUCUUCUGACCUUUCGCGAUUGAAUGAGCCGCUGUCGGAGUAGCUAGUUGGCGGGGUAAUGGCCCACCAAGGCGACGAUCCGUAGCUGGUCUGAGAGGAGGAUCAGCCACACGGGAACUGAGACACGGUCCAGACGCCUGCGGGAGGCAGCAGUGGGGAAUGUGGGACAGUGGUCGCAAGCCUGAUCCAGCGGUACCGCGUGUGUGAAGAAGGCCUUGGGGUUGUAAAGCCCUUUUGUUGGGAAAGAAAAGCAGCAGGUUAAGACCCCGCGGUUCUGACGGUACCCAAAGAAGAAGCACCGGCUAACUUCGUG
rnacentral:rRNA from 1 species